rnacentral:rRNA from 1 species
GACGAACGCUGGCGGCGUGCUUAACACAUGCAAGUCGAACGAAGAGGCGAACGGGUGAGUAACGCGUAAUCAACCUGCCCUUCAGUGGGGGACAACAGGUGGAAACGACUGCUAAUACCGCAUACUGAAGGAGGGGAUUGCGUCUGAUUAGCUAGUUGGAGGGGUAACGGCCCACCAUGGCGAUGAUCAGUAGCCUGUCGGAGAGGAUGAAAGGACACAUUGGGACUGUGACACGGCCAAGAGUCCUACGGGAGGCAGCAGUGGGGAAUCUUCCGCAAUGGACGAAAGUCUGACGGAGCAACGCCGCGUGAGUGAUGACGGCAUUCGGGUUGUAAAGCUCUGUUAAUCGGGACGCGGUACCGGAAUAGAAAGCGACGGCUAACUACGUGCCAGCAGCCGCGGUAAUUC